GUCCUUUUAUGGUUCAUAAGGGUGAAGUUUGGGUUUUGAUGCUCAUGUGUGAGAUGUGCCUCCUCAAACCUUGUUACGUCGGCACAUUAGCAAUCUGAUG